rnacentral:rRNA from 1 species
AACGAACGCUGGCGGCAGGCUUAACACAUGCAAGUCGAGCGCCCCGCAAGGGGAGCGGCAGACGGGUGAGUAACGCGUGGGAAUCUACCCAUCUCUACGGAAUAACGCAUGGAAACGUGUGCUAAUACCGUAUACGUCCUUCGGGAGAAAGAUUUAUCGGAGAUGGAUGAGCCCGCGUUGGAUUAGCUAGUUGGUGGGGUAAAGGCCUACCAAGGCGACGAUCCAUAGCUGGUCUGAGAGGAUGAUCAGCCACACUGGGACUGAGACACGGCCCAGACUCGUACGGGAGGCAGCAGUGGGGAAUAUUGGACAAUGGGCCCUAGCCUGUUCCAGCCAUGCCGCGUGAGUGAUGAAGGCCCUAGGGUUGUAAAGCUCUUUCACCGGUGAAGAUAAUGACGGUAACCGGAGAAGAAGCCCCGACUAACUUCGUGCCAGCCGCCGCAGUAAUAC